rnacentral:rRNA from 1 species
GACGAACGCUGGCGGCGUGCCUAAUACAUGCAAGUAGAACGCUGAAGACUUUAGCUUGCUAAAGUUGGAAGAGUUGCGAACGGGUGAGUAACGCGUAGGUAACCUGCCUACUAGCGGGGGAUAACUAUUGGAAACGAUAGCUAAUACCGCAUAACAGCAUUUAACCCAUGUUAGAUGCUUGAAAGGAGCAAUUGCUUCACUAGUAGAUGGACCUGCGUUGUAUUAGCUAGUUGGUGAGGUAACGGCUCGCCAAGGCGACGAUACAUAGCCGACCUGAGAGGGUGAUCGGCCACACUGGGACUGAGACACGGCCCAGACUCCUACGGGAGGCAGCAGUAGGGAAUCUUCGGCAAUGGGGGCAACCCUGACCGAGCAACGCCGCGUGAGUGAAGAAGGUUUUCGGAUCGUAAAGCUCUGUUGUAAGAGAAGAACGUGUGUGAGAGUGGAAAGUUCACACAGUGACGGU